rnacentral:rRNA from 1 species
GAUGAACGCUGGCGGCGUGCCUAAUACAUGCAAGUCGGGCGAACGGACGAGAAGCUUGCUUCUCUGAUGUUAGCGGCGGACGGGUGAGUAACACGUGGAUAACCUACCUAUAAGACUGGGAUAACUUCGGGAAACCGGAGCUAAUACCGGAUAAUAUUUUGAACCGCAUGGUUCAAUAGUGAAAGACGGUCUUGCUGUCACUUAUAGAUGGAUCCGCGCUGCAUUAGCUAGUUGGUAAGGUAACGGCUUACCAAGGCAACGAUGGAUAGCCGACCUGAGAGGGUGAUCGGCCACACUGGAACUGAGACACGGUCCAGACUCCUACGGGAGGCAGCAGUAGGGAAUCUUCCGCAAUGGGCGAAAGCCUGACGGAGCAACGCCGCGUGAGUGAUGAAGGUCUUCGGAUCGUAAAACUCUGUUAUUAGGGGAAAACAUAUGUGUAAGUAACUGUGCACAUCGUGACGGUACCUAAUCAGAAAGCCACGGCUAACUACGUG